UUGAAGAGUUUGAUCAUGGCUCAGAUUGAACGCUGGCGGCAGGCCUAACACAUGCAAGUCGAACGGUAACAGGAAGCAGCUUGCUGCUUUGCUGACGAGUGGCGGACGGGUGAGUAAUGUCUGGGAAACUGCCUGAUGGAGGGGGGGGGAUAACUACUGGAAACGGUAGCUAAUACCGCAUAACGUCGCAAGACCAAAGAGGGGGGACCUUCGGGCCUCUUGCCAUCGGAUGUGCCCAGAUGGGAUUAGCUAGUAGGUGGGGUAACGGCUCACCUAGGCGACGAUCCCUAGCUGGUCUGAGAGGAUGACCAGCCACACUGGAACUGAGACACGGUCCAGACUCCUACGGGAGGCAGCAGUGGGGGAAUAUUGCACAAUGGGCGCAAGCCUGAUGCAGCCAUGCCGCGUGUAUGAAGAAGGCCUUCGGGUUGUAAAGUACUUUCAGCGGGGAGGAAGGGAGUAAAGUUAAUACCUUUGCUCAUUGACGUUACCCGCAGAAGAAGCACCGGCUAACUCCGUGCCAGCAGCCGCGGUAAUACGGAGGGUGCAAGCGUUAAUCGGAAUUACUGGGCGUAAAGCGCACGCAGGCGGUUUGUUAAGUCAGAUGUGAAAUCCCCGGGCUCAACCCGGGAACUGCAUCUGAUACUGGCAAGCUUGAGUCUCGUAGAGGGGGGUAGAAUUCAGUGUAGCGGUGAAAUGCGUAGAGAUCUGGAGGAAUACCGGUGGCGAAGGCGGCCCCCCGGACGAAGACUGACGCUCAGGUGCGAAAGCGUGGGGAGCAAACAGGAUUAGAUACCACGGUAGUCCACGCCGUAAACGAUGUCGACUUGGAGGUUGUGCCCUUGAGGCGUGGCUUCCGGAGCUAACGUGUUAAGUCGACCGCACGGGGAGUACGGCCGCAAGGUUAAAACUCAAAUGAAUUGACGGGGGGCCCGCACAAGCGGUGGAGCAUGUGGUUUAAUUCGAUGCAACGCGAAGAACCUUACCUGGUCUUGACAUCCACGGAAGUUUUCAGAGAUGAGAAUGUGCCUUCGGGAACCGUGAGACAGGUGCUGCAUGGCUGUCGUCAGCUCGUGUUGUGAAAUGUUGGGUUAAGUCCCGCAACGAGCGCAACCCUUAUCCUUUGUUGCCAGCGGUCCGGCCGGGAACUCAAAGGAGACUGCCAGUGAUAAACUGGAGGAAGGUGGGGAUGACGUCAAGUCAUCAUGGCCCCUUACGACCGGGGCUACACACGUGCUACAAUGGCGCAUACAAAGAGAAGCGACCUCGCGAGAGCAAGCGGACCUCAUAAAGUGCGUCGUAGUCCGGAUUGGAGUCUGCAACUCGACUCCAUGAAGUCGGAAUCGCUAGUAAUCGUGGAUCAGAAUGCCACGGUGAAUACGUUCCCGGGCCUUGUACACACCGCCCGUCACACCAUGGGAGUGGGUUGCAAAAGAAGUAGGUAGCUUAACCUUCGGGAGGGCGCUUACCACUUUGUGAUUCAUGACUGGGGUGAAGUCGUAACAAGGUAACCGUAGGGGAACCUGCGGUUGGAUCACCUCCUU
rnacentral:rRNA from 1 species